rnacentral:rRNA from 1 species
UACGAAGGGGGCUAGCGUUGUUCGGAAUUACUGGGCGUAAAGCGCGCGCAGGCGGCUUCUUAAGUCUGAUGUGAAAGCCCACGGCUCAACCGUGGAGGGUCAUUGGAAACUGGGAAGCUUGAGUGCAGAAGAGGAGAGUGGAAUUCCACGUGUAGCGGUGAAAUGCGUAGAUAUGUGGAGGAACACCAGUGGCGAAAGCGGCUCUCUGGUCUGUAACUAACGCUGAGGCGCGAAAGCGUGGGGAGCAAACAGG